rnacentral:rRNA from 1 species
GGGGAAUUUUGGACAAUGGGCGCAAGCCUGAUCCAGCAAUGCCGCGUGCAGGAUGAAGGCCUUCGGGUUGUAAACUGCUUUUGUACGGAACGAAAAAGCUCUCUCUGAUACAGGGGGUGAAUGACGGUACCGUAAGAAUAAGCACCGGCUAACUACGUGCCAGCAGCCGCGGUAAUACGUAGGGUGCAAGCGUUAAUCGGAAUUACUGGGCGUAAAGCGUGCGCAGGCGGUUUUGUAAGACAGAGGUGAAAUCCCCGGGCUCAACCUGGGAACUGCCUUGGUGACUGCAAAGCUGGAGUGCGGCAGAGGGGGAUGGAAUUCCGCGUGUAGCAGUGAAAUGCGUAGAUAUGCGGAGGAACACCGAUGGCGAAGGCAAUCCCCUGGGCCUGCACUGACGCUCAUGCACGAAAGCGUGGGGAGCAAACA